CCUACGGGGGGCAGCAGCGAGGAAUAUUGGUCAAUGGCCGGAAGGCUGAACCAGCCAUGCCGCGUGAAGGUCAGUGCCCUAUGGGCGUUAAACUUCUUUUGUGCGGGAGCAAUAAUGGUCACGUGUGGCCAGACGAGAGUACCGUACGAAUAAGCAUCGGCUAACUCCGUGCCAGCAGCCGCGGUAAUACGGGGGAUGCAAGCGUUAUCCGGAUUUAUUGGGUUUAAAGGGUGCGUAGGCUGGGAGGUAAGUCAGCGGUGAAAUGCCCCCGCUCAACGGGGUGAAGUGCCAUUGAUACUGCCUGGCUGGAAUGCGGAUGCCGUGGGAGGAAUGUGUGGUGUAGCGGUGAAAUGCAUAGAUAUCACACAGAACACCGAUUGUGAAGGCAUCUCACGAAUCCGCGAUUGACGCUGAUGCACGAAAGCGUGGGUAUCAAACAGGAUUAGAUACCCGAGUAGUC
rnacentral:rRNA from 1 species